rnacentral:rRNA from 1 species
AUUGAACGCUAGCGGCAGGCCUAAUACAUGCAAGUCGAACGGUGUCUUCGGACAUAGUGGCGCACGGGUGCGUAACACGUAUGCAACCUACCUUACAUUGGGGGAUAGCCUUUCGAAAGGGAGAUUAAUACCGCAUAAGACAGUAGCUGGGCAUCCAGCAGCUGUUAAAGAUUUAUCGAUGUAAGCUGGGCAUGCGUCCAAUUAGCUAGUUGGUGAGGUAACGGCUCACCAAGGCAAUGAUUGGUAGGGGAACUGAGAGGUCAAUCCCCCACACUGGCACUGAGAUACGGGCCAGACUCCUAUGGGAGGCAGCAGUAGGGAAUAUUGGGCAAUGGACGCAAGUCUGACCCAGCCAUGCCGCGUGCAGGAUGAGGGCGUUAUGCGUUGUAAACUGCUUUUAUACAGGAAGAAACGACUCUUGCGAGAGGCAUUGACGGUACUGUAUGAAUAAGCACCGGCUAACUCCGUGCCAGCCGCCGCGGUAAAAC